AUAUAAGAUGGAUAACUAUGACUUUUCACACAAAAAGCGCGCGUGUUCUGAUUAUAUCACCGUGUCUGUUUUUGUGCAAUAUAAAAAGAACCUGGCCAAUUUGGCGAGGUUCUUUCUUCA
rnacentral:sRNA from 19 species